rnacentral:rRNA from 1 species
GGGGUGCUCGAGUGGCGAACGGGUGAGUAACACGUGAGUAACCUGCCCUUGACUUUGGGAUAACUUCAGGAAACUGGGGCUAAUACCGGAUAGGAGCUCCUGCUGCAUGGUGGGGGUUGGAAAGUUUCGGCGGUUGGGGAUGGACUCGCGGCUUAUCAGCUUGUUGGUGGGGUAGUGGCUUACCAAGGCUUUGACGGGUAGCCGGCCUGAAGAGGGUGACCGGCCACAUUGGGACUGAGAUACGGCCCAG